AAUCACUAUGGCUGAUUCUCAACGAGCAUCAAUCAUGGUCAACAAUAGAAUGAGAACAAAGGAUAUAUUUGACGGAAUAGACGAAAGGUAUCAUAAAGAUAUUCCAAACGAAUGUAAAACUCCAUUGAGAGAUUUUCUUCAAGCGCUGUCUAAUCAGAAAAUUCACGUCUUGUCUGAUGUAUUGUUUGAGUUAAUCAUAAUAAGAGUAUCAAAAGAUGACUGUGAAGAUGAGGAUAAUUUCGACGAUACCAAUCAAAAGUUGAAAGAAUGUAUAUAUGAAUAUGGUGAUUGCCUAUUGAACAAAGACUUGGGUUUUGUCUCGGACGGUUUUCCUGACAAUAUCAAGCAGAUGCACUGUCUCCAUACAUGGACCACAAUUGUGUCUCAUAUUUCAUUACAUGAAACACAUUAAACUGCAAAGCUCAGUUCGAUUACAGACAUGUUGCAUGCACGGGCGGCCAUUUAUGCAAAGAAAUCUAGUUAUUUCAGCACAUAGAUCAGCAACAAAUGUAGAGCCAAAUUUGGCUAUUCGUUUUCCCUUUAAUGUAAAUAAACAAUAACUUUAAAAACAAAACACAUAUUCAACAACAAGUUAUAUACCAUUGUUAUUUCAUGGUCCUUUAAAAUUGAUAAUUUCUUUUAUUAUUUAUACAUUUUUUACAAUUAUGAUUUAUUUGACAUUGCAUUAAUGUUUUCCCCUAACCCAUAUGUAAUUGUUUAUUAUUCAUUUUCAUUCUGUAUUAUUAAAGUUUUAAAAUUAUAUCAAAGGAAUAAAAUAUAAAUGCCGUUCUAAAACUAUUGUUACUGCUCAAAAUACUAAGUGUCACUUAAAAAUGAAAUGGAUUUAGUAAAUGCUAUUUUAGAACUUUAAUUUUGGAGAGAUAAAAGAAUUUUUUACAAACGUAAAACAUCUGUUUAAGAAUAUUUUGCCUGUAAAUAUUGUUAUGUCUUUUUCAGUUUUUGUUUUAUUUUCUCUGCUUCUUUUUUGUAUGUCUUUUUAUGUAAAUAAAAAUUUGGUCUUUGCUCUAAUUAAACUAAUCAGUAAUUGGAGUUGUUGUGUUGGUGGCGUUCGUGGUGUUGAUUUUAAUAAAAUGAUAAUUAUUAUGAAAUGAUGAAAUGAGCUUAUUUGAUAAUUCAAGUUAGUUCUUCCAUUUUAUCAGGACGGUUAUAAUGUACAGGACUUCCUUUAUAUGUUGUUUUUGUAAAUAUCAUCAAAAAAAUAUUAUUGGCAUACAUUAUAAUUAUAUUUUUGUAAAUUUGAUAUAUUCCCGAUUCUCAUUUUCAAACAUAUCUAAUUGUUGUUUCAAAGAUGAGAUUCAAACAACUUGAACUCACAUUACUUUCUAUGUUUAUGAAAAAAAACAUCGCAUGAGUUAUUGCUUAUCGACAAAAAUAAUGCACCGAGAAUAGGAACAUUUACAAAUCUGAGUUAAUGAGUAAUCAUUUUCAUUUAACUUUAUCAUUCUCGAUAUAUAUGCACAUUGUAUCAAAUAAUAUGAGACGCCUUGUACCGAUGUACUUUUAUUAUAUGUAUAUAUAUAAUUUAAUUGUAAUAAUUCAUUUACGUAAUUAUUUUGCAAUAAUGUUGUUUCACGUCUAAUAACUUAAUUUGCCGACAAGUUUUGAUAUGUCAUCACGGACAGAGCCAGAUGACAUCAACUAUUUCAAAGAUUGUAAGGUAAUUAGUUUGUUAAUGAUAUACUAUGCUCAAAUUUUUUUUUUUAAAUAUUGAUAAUUUCUACACAGUAUUUUUGUAAAUAUAGAAAAAAAUGUUUUGACUUCACACAAAUUAGAUAUGUUUAAACUUUUCAUCACUAUAGAUGGUCACAAUAUGAAUAUAAAGUGUCAUUAAAUAACAACUGGCUGUUCUUUGUAUAAAAGGACCAACAUUCUUUGUUCAUAGUUUAUUCAUUCUUUAUUCAAAUUAGAUAAAAUCAGCAAAUAUUCCGUAGAUUUGUACCAAAAAUACUUUACUCAAGGAUGAGAAUAAAAGUUUAUCUUUACAAAUCGGUUAAUAUGCUUAGGGAAUUCAAGUUACUUUGAAAAAAUAUUGCAAAAUUUUAUUGUAUCGUGUAUUGUCUUAUUAUACCUAAACUCCGAAAAAAGAAACAAUUUUUAAAACAAAAUUCAUCACUCAUCAAUCAACAUAAAUUGAGUACGUAUUGUUAUUUAAUUCACUUCUUGGUUUUGACAUUUGUUUUUGUUUAUAAGACACAAACUUAUUUGAUUACGUUGUUUUGAUUUUUUGCACUUUAAUUAUUUCAAUGACGUUGGCUUCAUGCACAGCAAUAAACUGCUUAAAAUAUGUAAAAUUACUACCGGUUUUGUACAAAAAACGAUAGUAACUGCUGCAAAUUCAAAUAAAGUAUGUUUUAUCUUUUUCAAACAGUAUUGUAAAUUUCUAAACACUGUAAGAUAAAUACUUUAGAAAUGAAUCUAUUCUAUUUGUUGUUUAUCUUGAAUUAUUAUGUAAUGAUUUAUGUUUUCCUAUAUUUUCUUUCUUUCAUUUUGCUUUUUUUCCUAUGCAAAUAAGAAUUAAAGCAAUUUAUAUCUUUUUACAUAAAAUGAUAUAAUUAUCGGUGGCUUGAUAUUCCGUUCGGAAAUGUAUUGAGUUAAAAUGCAUAACUUAAUCUUAAAAACAUAUACAGUAGACACAAAAGAAAUGGCAAGGUAUUUGACAAAUACCUUGCCAUUUCUUUUGUGUAUAUAUGUUUGUAUUUGCUAUACUUUGUUUUUACUUUAACCAUCGCAUUACAUGCAUGUGUGUCUUAAUGCUUCUCUUCAAUCAGCCGUUUACCUUUUAGGGAUUUGUUGCACCCAUUGUUAUUUUAUAUUAUAUGUUUACAAAAACCAGAAAGGAAGCGAGAUGUGUGUUGUUCAUCAGACUGAUGAUAA